GACGAACGCUGGCGGCGUGCUUAACACAUGCAAGUCGAGCGGUAAGGCCCUUUCGGGGGUACACGAGCGGCGAACGGGUGAGUAACACGUGGGUGACCUGCCCUUAGCUCUGGGAUAAGCCUGGGAAGCUGGGUCUAAUACCGGAUAUGACUCCAUGACGCAUGUUGUGGGGUGGAAAGCCUUGUGCGGCUAGGGGAUGGGCCUGCGGCCUAUCAGCUUGUUGGUGGGGUGANGGCCUACCAAGGCGACGACGGGUAGCCGGCCUGAGAGGGCGACCGGCCACACUGGGACUGAGACACGGCCCAGACUCCUACGGGAGGCAGCAGUGGGGAAUCUUGCGCAAUGGGCGAAAGCCUGACGCAGCGACGCCGCGU
rnacentral:rRNA from 1 species